rnacentral:misc_RNA from 1 species
CACCGCAUGCAUCCUGCUGUCCGACCUGCGUCUCUGCGUGCUUCGCUACUUUGCCGUCAGCUCCUCUGUCGGUCGCGGCUUCUCCACUCCGCUUUCGUGGCGCGCCGUCCGAAGUUACCCCGCAUGCACACGGCUACCUGGCACAGCGCCGAUAUCGCAAGGUCAUAGGUGACAGAGAGAGUGCCACGCGGUGCAGCCACCUAAACACACGCACACGCUUCUAUCGCUAUCCCCUCGACGUGUACACGAUGCAUGCUAGUAGAAGCUGUUGGCGACUGCCCGUUGCUGUAAGACGGGAGGCCUGCGUGGCUCAUGGAGGUGGAUGCCGGGCACUGGCGCCGUUGACGAACUUCUCGAGGCUGCUGAUUCCGGUGAUGCAUGUGCUGCUUCUGGGGGCACUGUUGCUGACGCAGUCGGGCAGCUUGGCCGUUGCAAAGAGGUCUAGGACAUCGUCGUCAUCCUCUUCCUCUGCUCCCGUCUCAGGAGACCUGCAGACACUGCACACCGUCACGAGCUGUAGCGAGUGCACCAUCAACGCAUCGCAGCGAUGGUGCCCGACAACGAUGCGGUGCUACUCGGCGAGCGACUGCAAGUGUGAGGGGCAAACACCGUGCAUCGACCUCAACACGUGCUUCUACGGCAGCCGACCCACCUGCCGUGAGUGUGUCGAAAGCGGUGGGGUAUACUGCCGCGCUGGCGAGAAGUCCGUCGCCGCGACGACAGCAACAGCUGAGCCUGUCUCACAUAAGCCCUUGAUUCGGUGCUACGCCCCCACCGCCGCCAGCCCUUUCGCAAGAGCAGAUGUGGGGGCCAGAGGGGCGCGGUCUCCUCUCAGCUCCGCGGUUGUUGCUGCACUGGACGCAGCGUUGCUCACCUGCUCGAACGCCACCUGUCGCGGCGGCCACUGCAUCGUUGCGGCGGCCGAGUGCCCCGCCGAACUAGUGGACCCUCUCACACGAUGCUACGAGGUGAUUGGCACUGUACUGAUGACGAUCUUGAUGCUGCUGGCGGCGCACAGUAUCUGGCUGCUGUGGUCGAGGGCGAGGGGCUUUUGAGGUGCGCUGAAGGAAGAGGCUGCCUCAGUCGUGGUCGAAUGCUCGACGUGUCUCGGUGGUAGAGUGCUGGAGAAGCUCCCUCCACAAAGUGGAGUAGGGUCUGCACGCCCCCCCCCCCCCCCCCCCGCUCUCUGGCUGCUGCUGUUGCUGUGUAGCUGCUCCAUGCAAGCUCAAAGACAAUCA